CUCAUUUCUUUUUCUCCUCUUUUUCUGUUGUAGUCCCUCUUCUCUCUCCUAUGUUGGGGGCAUUUAUUUGGAGAAACGGGCAAGU
rnacentral:ribozyme from 1 species